rnacentral:rRNA from 1 species
AGUGAACGCUGGCGGUAGGCCUAACACAUGCAAGUCGAACGGCAGCACAGUAAGAGCUUGCUCUUACGGGUGGCGAGUGGCGGACGGGUGAGGAAUACAUCGGAAUCUACUUUUUCGUGGGGGAUAACGUAGGGAAACUUACGCUAAUACCGCAUACGACCUACGGGUGAAAGCAGGGGAUCUUCGGACCUUGCGCAAUUGAAUGAGCCGAUGUCGGAUUAGCUAGUUGGCGGGGUAAAGGCCCACCAAGGCGACGAUCCGUAGCUGGUCUGAGAGGAUGAUCAGCCACACUGGAACUGAGACACGGUCCAGACUCCUACGGGAGGCAGCAGUGGGGAAUAUUGGACAAUGGGCGCAAGCCUGAUCCGGCCAUACCGCGUGGGUGAAGAAGGCCUUCGGGUUGUAAAGCCCUUUUGUUGGGAAAGAAAAGCAGCAGGUUAAUACCCCGCUGUUCUGACGGUACCCAAAGAAUAAGCACCGGCUAACUUCGUG